AACGAACGCUGGCGGCAGGCUUAACACAUGCAAGUCGAACGCUGUAGCAAUACAGAGUGGCAGACGGGUGAGUAACGCGUGGGAAUCUACCCAAUACUACGGAAUAGCUCCGGGAAACUGGAAUUAAUACCGUAUGUGCCCUACGGGGGGAAGAUUUAUCGGUAUUGGAUGAGCCCGCGUUGGAUUAGCUAGUUGGUGGGGUAAUGGCCUACCAAGGCGACGAUCCAUAGCUGGUCUGAGAGGAUGAUCAGCCACACUGGGACUGAGACACGGCCCAGACUCCUACGGGAGGCAGCAGUAGGGAAUAUUGGACAAUGGGCGAAAGCCUGAUCCAGCCAUGCCGCGUGAGUGAUGAAGGCCUUAGGGUUGUAGAGCUCUUUCAGUGGGGAAGAUAAUGACGGUACCCACAGAAGAAGCCCCGGCUAACUUCGUGCCAGCCGCCGCCGUAACAC
rnacentral:rRNA from 1 species